rnacentral:rRNA from 1 species
CAUUGCCGGGUAGCUAUGUUCGGAAAAGAUAACCGCUGAAAGCAUCUAAGCGGGAAACUUGCCUCAAGAUGAGAUCUCACUGGAACCUUGAGUUCCCUGAAGGGCCGUCGAAGACUACGACGUUGAUAGGUUGGGUGUGUAAGCGCUGUGAGGCGUUGAGCUAACCAAUACUAAUUGCCCGUGAGGCUUGACCAUAUAACACCC